GAUGAACGCUGGCGGCGUGCUUAACGCAUGCAAGUCGAACGAAGCACUUGGAUCUCUUCGGAGUGAUGAGUGACUGAGUGGCGGACGGGUGAGUAACGCGUGGGUAACCUGCCUCGUACAGGGGGACAACAGUUGGAAACGACUGCUAAUACCGCAUAAGCGCACAGUAUCGCAUGAUACAGCGUGAAAAGCUGAGGCGGUACGAGAUGGACCCGCGUUGGAUUAGCUAGUUGGUGGGGUAACGGCCUACAAGGCGACGAUCCAUAGCCGACCUGAGAGGGUGACCGGCCACAUUGGGACUGAGACACGGCCCAAACUCCUACGGGAGGCAGCAGUGGGGAAUAUUGCACAAUGGGCGAAAGCCUGAUGCAGCGGCGCCGCGUGAGCGAUGAAGUAUUUCGGUAUGUAAAGCUCUAUCAGCAGGGAAGAAAAUGACGGUACCUGACUAAGAAGCUCCGGCUAAAUACGUGCCAGCAGCCGCAGUAAGAC
rnacentral:rRNA from 1 species